UAAUACGAGGGGUGCAAGCGUUAAUCAGAAUUACUGGGCGUAAAGCGUUCGUAGGCGGUUUGUUAAGCAAGAUGUGAAAGCCCAGGGCUCAACCUUGGAACUGCAUUUUGAACUGGCAGACUAGAGUACUGUAGAGGGUGGUGGAAUUUCCAGUGUAGCGGUGAAAUGCGUAGAGAUUGGAAGGAACAUCAGUGGCGAAGGCGGCCACCUGGACAGAUACUGACGCUGAGGAACGAAAGCGUGGGGGGCAAACAGGAUUAGAUACCCUGGUAGUCCACGCCGUAAACGAUGUCAACUAUCCGUUCGUAGACUUGAUCUGUGAGUGGAGCAGCUAACGCAAUAAGUUGACCGCCUGGGGAGUACGGCCGCAAGGUUA
rnacentral:rRNA from 1 species